rnacentral:tRNA from 1 species
GUCUGAAUAGCUUAGAUGGUUAAAGCAGUCGCCCGGCAAGCGAAAGACGCAGGUUCG